CUUCACUAAUCGCCAGCGAACAAGAAUGCAAAACAACAAAACAACGAAAUGAUGUGAGUGCAGACCAUGAUUCACUUAACUUGGUAAAUGUAGUGACGUGAAUUGUUGCUAUUAAAGCAGUAGUGUACCGUGUGUGAGUGUGAUAUGAAUUGUGUGUUUUGCAUUUACAGCAAGUAGCCGGCAUGACCUGUAAAAUACAGAUAUACUUAAAUUGACCAUAAAUGAUGGGGGAGGCUGCAGCUACGAACAACAACCUGUUGGAUACCUGUGCAUCACCAUGUUGGAAGGCCGCGACCCUUGAGGCCUCGCAUUGGUGGUGGCAGGUUGUUCCAACAGUGAGUCGCAGCAUAUUUGAAGCUCCCCCUGAAGGCCGCUGUUCUGUGCUGAGGGAUGGAUAGUGGAUUUGUAGUUGAGCGUAUGUGGUUUAUUGAACUAUGCUGUCUCCACUGUAAUUUCUCAUACAGGUACCGUGGCUUUUGGGUAGUAAUAACUCCAAACAAUAGGCCUGCCAGGUGCAAACGUCUCCGAGCUUCCAUUUUUAAAAUAUUGUUUCGAUUCGCAAAAGGGGUGACAUGGCUUCUUCGUGGUAUGUCCACACAGUAUCUUAUGCAAGCAUUUUGAACACGCUGCACCAAUCUGUUUGUUUUUGCUAGCAA